AAAAAGGAAGACAAAUCUAAGAAUAUCUUCUUAAAUAUCUUCAUUUCCUGAAUCCUUUAUGUCCGUUCCACCUGUCACAAAAGUCCUGAAUGGUUGAGAGCUAAAGAGGCCCGUGGCAAUAGGAUGCAUGAAUGAGAUCGGAUUGGACGGUCAAAACCUGACCCGUUUCUCUGGGGCAGGCAUGUUUUCAUAUCACACCCCAUGCCAUGAAAGCGAUGACCAGAUGAAAGG